UUUCCGUAGGUGAACCUGCGGAAGGAUCAUUAUUGUAUAACCGAGGUGCGAGGGCUGUCGCUGACCCGAAAGGUCGUGCACGCCCGGAUGCCCUCACACACAUCCAUCUCACCCCUGGGUGCACCACCGCGUGGGUCCCCCUUUGGCUUGUUCGGAGGGGGGCUUGCGUUUUCACACAAACUUUGUAUGCAGUGUAGAAUGUAUUUUUUGUUUAUGCGAUCACGCAAUCAAUACAACUUUCAACAACGGAUCUCUUGGCUCUC
rnacentral:misc_RNA from 1 species